rnacentral:rRNA from 1 species
UGGGGAAUAUUGGACAAUGGGCGCAAGCCUGAUCCAGCAAUGCCGCGUGUGUGAAGAAGGCCUUCGGGUUGUAAAGCACUUUUAUCAGGAGCGAAACGCUGUCGGCUAAUACCCGGCGGAACUGACGGUACCUGAGGAAUAAGCACCGGCUAACUUCGUGCCAGCAGCCGCGGUAAUACGAAGGGUGCAAGCGUUAAUCGGAAUUACUGGGCGUAAAGCGUGCGUAGGCGGUUUCUUAAGUCUGCUGUGAAAUCCCCGGGCUCAACCUGGGAAUGGCAGUGGAUACUGGGAGGCUAGAGUGUGUCAGAGGGUGGUGGAAUUCCCGGUGUAGCGGUGAAAUGCGUAGAGAUCGGGAGGAACAUCAGUGGCGAAGGCGGCCACCUGGGACAACACUGACGCUGAGGCACGAAAGCGUGGGGAGCAAAACAGGAUUAGAUACCCUGGUAGUCCACGCCCUAAAACGAUGUGAACUGGAUGUUGGUCUCAACUCGGAGAUCAGUGUCGAAGCUAACGCGUUAAGUUCGCCGCCUGGGGAGUACGGUCGCAAGACUGAAACUUAAAUGAAUUGAC